rnacentral:rRNA from 1 species
AUUGAACGCUGGCGGCAUGCUUUACACAUGCAAGUCGAACGGUAACAGGCCGCAAGGUGCUGACGAGUGGCGAACGGGUGAGUAAUGCAUCGGAACGUGCCCAGCCGUGGGGGAUAACUACUCGAAAGAGUAGCUAAUACCGCAUACGAUCUGUGGAUGAAAGCGGGGGACCGUAAGGCCUCGCGCGAUUGGAGCGGCCGAUGUCAGAUUAGGUAGUUGGUGGGGUAAAGGCUCACCAAGCCAACGAUCUGUAGCUGGUCUGAGAGGACGACCAGCCACACUGGGACUGAGACACGGCCCAGACUCCUACGGGAGGCAGCAGUGGGGAAUUUUGGACAAUGGGCGCAAGCCUGAUCCAGGAAUGCCGCGUGCAGGAAGAAGGCCUUCGGGUUGUAAACUGCUUUUGUACGGAACGAAACGGCUCUGGUUAAUACCCGGGGCUAAUGACGGUACCGUAAGAAUAAGCACCGGCUAACUACGUG